rnacentral:tRNA from 1 species
UGGGGAUGUAGCUCAGUGGUAGAGUGCUUGCCUAGCAUGCAUGAGGCCCUGGGUUCAAUCCCAGUACUAA